UGGUACAUGCUGCAUGUGGCG
rnacentral:misc_RNA from 1 species